CAUCCAGCGCAGACGACCAGAAGCGGCCCAUUCUCGUUGUUGCCCUGCUGGCUGACGGCCACACGAUGAUCCAAGCACAGUUUGAUAGAUUCGGCCGCUUCUCCGCUGCUCAGGCAUUCUUCCCGCUGGCAGAGCACUGGCUUCCAACCUUCAGUAGUUAAAGAACGAAGCGUAAUCAAAUAACGUAAAUUGAAACGAAAAAAUCAUGUUAGUCGUAAAAAAAAGCGGUCGUGAAAAGUAAUGUGGCACUCACCGUUAAGAGCGAAUCCUAUUACAUUAAAAAAAAGGGGGCGCGCCCAUCGGUCACGACGCGAAAGAGGGAAGACAUCGAACAAACCAUCAAAAAGCAAGAAGACAUGCAAAGGGAGUUGAGAUGUGAAGGAAAAAGAGAAAGAUGUGGUAGUAGUAUUUUGGAGAAGAAAAAAAGAAGAAAGAGAAUAAGAAUGAAAGAAAACAUUAAGAUGAACGCCAAGAAAACCACACGUUGAUUUAAAUGGAUACAACUGCUGCGUGUCUAAUUUGUUUAGUUUAAGGUUGUUUUUCUUUUAUGUCCGCUUCCUUUUUUUUUAUAUAUAUAUAUAUAUAUAAAUAUCAUUAUUAA